GGAAACAGGGGUGGAGGUGGGGAGGUGAGAUGGAGGGGGCAAACGGGGUGUGGAAUGAGUGGGAGGAAAGCGCGGGUAGGCGUGGCGGAAAGGCGUGUGGGAAAGCCCUGGGCUCAACACAGGAAGUGCACUCGAAACUCCCGAGCUAGAGUCCGGGAGAGGAAGGCGGAAUUCGCGGUGUAGAGGUGAAAUUCGUAGAUAUCGAGAGGAACAUCGGUGGCGAAGGCGGCCUUCUGGACAGCGACUGACGCUGAGACGCGAAAGCGUGGGGAGCAAACAGGAUUAGAUACCCGAGUAGUC
rnacentral:rRNA from 1 species